rnacentral:rRNA from 1 species
CGUAGGGGGACCUGCGGAGGGAUCAUUACACAAUACAAUAUGAAGGCUGUCCGCAGCUGGAGUAUUUUAUUACCCUUGUCUUUUGCGCACUUGUUGUUUCCUGGGCGGGUUCGCUCGCCACCAGGACCACCAAAUAAACCUUUUUUAUGCAGUUGCAAUCAGCGUCAGUACAAACAAUGUAAAUCAUUUACAACUUUCAACAACGGAUCUCUUGGUUCUGGCAUCGAUGAAGAACGCAGCGAAAUGCGAUACGUAGUGUGAAUUGCAGAAUUCAGUGAAUCAUCGAAUCUUUGAACGCACAUUGCGCCCUUUGGUAUUCCAAAGGGCAUGCCUGUUCGAGCGUCAUUUGUACCCUCAAGCUUUGCUUGGUGUUGGGCGUUUUUGUCUUUGGUCGCCCAAAGACUCGCCUUAAAGUGAUUGGCAGCCGGCCUUUCUGGUUUCGCAGCGCAGCACAUUUUUGCGCUUGCCAUCAGCAAAACGGCAAUCCAUCAAGCCUCCUUCUCACGUUUGACCUCGGAUCAGGUAGGGAUACCCGCUGAACUUAAGCAUAUCAUAGGCGGG